AACGAACGCUGGCGGCAGGCUUAACACAUGCAAGUCGAACGCAUCCUUCGGGGUGAGUGGCAGACGGGUGAGUAACGCGUGGGAACGUGCCCUUCAGUUCGGGAUAACCCAGGGAAACUUGGGCUAAUACCGGAUACGUGCGAGAGCAGAAAGAUUUAUCGCUGAAGGAUCGGCCCGCGUCUGAUUAGCUAGUUGGUGGGGUAAUGGCCCACCAAGGCGACGAUCAGUAGCUGGUCUGAGAGGAUGAUCAGCCACAUUGGGACUGAGACACGGCCCAAACUCCUACGGGAGGCAGCAGUGGGGAAUCUUGGACAAUGGGCGCAAGCCUGAUCCAGCCAUGCCGCGUGAGUGAUGAAGGCCUUAGGGUUGUAAAGCUCUUUUGGCGGGGACGAUAAUGACGGUACCCGCAGAAUAAGUCCCGGCUAACUUCGUGCCAGCAGCCGCCGUAA
rnacentral:rRNA from 1 species